AAAUUAUAAAAUAAGGUGGCAGGACACAAUUCAAAACCAAAAAGGAAAUAAUUCACCAUCACUAAAAAGUGACAAAGGAUGCAGGGAGCACCAGCAUUGCUAGAAAUAAAAGUAAAAGACUCUUUAGCCACAAAAACAUA